rnacentral:rRNA from 1 species
ACCUACGGGGCGCAGCAGUAGGGAAUCUUCCACAAUGGGCGAAAGCCUGAUGGAGCAACGCCGCGUGGGUGAAGAAGGUCUUCGGAUCGUAAAACUCUGUUGUUAGAGAAGAAAGUGCGUGAGAGUAACUGUUCACAUUUCGACGGUAUCUAACCAGAAAGCCACGGCUAACUACGUGCCAGCAGCCGCGGUAAUACGUAGGUGGCAAGCGUUAUCCGGAUUUAUUGGGCGUAAAGGGAACGCAGGCGGUCUUUUAAGUCUGAUGUGAAAGCCUUCGGCUUAACCGGAGUAGUGCAUUGGAAACU